CGAUGUGCUCUCGUAGAGUCGGGCUGCUUGGGAGUGCAGCCUGAAGCGGGUGGUAAAUUCCAUCUAAAGCUAAAUACUGGCGGGAGACCGAUAGCGAACAAGUACCGUGAGGGAAAGAUGCAAAGAACUUUGAAAAGAGAGUUAAAGAGUGCUUGAAAUUGGCAGGAGGAAACCCGGUUGCGCGUGGCAUUUGGCGUGGUCGACUCAGCCGCGCGCGGAGACCUGUAGGGGACCUAACGGCCUCGUGGUCAGCGCGCGCGGUGCACUUCGGCCGCGUCGGUCAGCCGCGUUUCUGUGCGGCCCAGACGGCCGCGGGCAGGGCUUCGGCGCAGCCUGCGGUUUGGGGGUCGCGCGGGAUCUCGGCUGAUGCGCACGGGCGCAACCGACCCGUCUAGAAACACGGACCAAGGAGUCUGACGCGUGUGCGAGUACUAGAGUGGCAAGCUCGAGUGCGCAAUGAAAGUGAAGGGCGUGCCCCGUCAACCGAUCUUGAUCUUCUGUGAAGGGUUUGAGUGGAGCACAUCUGUCGGGACCCGAAAGAUGGUGAACUAUGCCUGAGGAGGGUGAAGCCAGAGGAAACUCUGGUGGAGGCUCGUAGCGAUACUGACGUGCAAAUCGUUCGUCGAACUUGGGUAUAGGGGCGAAAGACUAAUCGAACCAUCUAGUAGCUGGUUCCCUCCGAAGUUUCCCUCAGGAUAGCUUGAACGCCGACGGUUUUGU
rnacentral:rRNA from 1 species